rnacentral:rRNA from 1 species
UACGGAGGGUGCAAGCGUUAUCCGGAUUCAUUGGGUUUAAAGGGAGCGUAGGUGGCCUUGUAAGUCAGUGGUGAAAUCCUGUCGCUUAACGAUAGAAUUGCCAUUGAUACUGCAGGGCUUGAGUACAGUUGCCGUUGGCGGAAUAUGACAUGUAGUGGUGAAAUACUUAGAUAUGUCAUAGAACACCGAUUGCGAAGGCAGCUGACGAAACUGUAACUGACACUGAGGCUCGAAAGUGUGGGGAUCAAACAGG